rnacentral:lncRNA from 1 species
GGAGAGACUCUUGCUAGGUUAAUUAUGCAACCAGUUGGCUUUGUGUAUUUGUAACUAUUAACUCACUCCUGCCCUUAACAAUGGUAUGAAGAUAAAAGUCAGUUUUGGGGUAGAGUCUAUUGUUGUUCCUCAAAGACAUCAGUCACCACCAACACAAUGACGUUGAGAAUGUUGGAAGUGAGGUACAGUUAGCUGAUCAGUUGCCGAUCUGCUCAUCUGGAGAAACGUAAAGCAGGGGCUUAUGGGAUUCCUUCUGGUUCCACAGACCCCAGCUCUGGGUCAUUCUUUAUGAACUGAACUGGACAGAGAUGUGCCACUGAGGUAGAUGUGCGGUUGCUUCUUAUUCAUUUUCCUCUCUUUAAUUGCCUUCAGCAUUUCACUGACCACAUGAUUUAAAAUGGAUAAGAUAUCUAAUGAUGUUUGUGUUUGAAAUCUUGCUGUCUAUCCAGGGUUUAUUGUUUUUUAAGUUCUUUGAUAGCAACGUGACUUUUACACAGAUUUCUUGUGUAACUCAGUUCAAUCACGUUUUCUGUUUUGUAUUUGAUAAAGAGAGCUGCUUUAGUCCCUGUUUCUAGUACAUAAUUCUGCAUAAAAUAUCCCAUUCCCUGAUGUGGGACUUAAUUGCAGUAAUUCUUCAAGCAUCUCCCACUUCUUUCCCAUGCCCUAAAAAUAAUAAUAGAAAUGAACACAUUUGUGUUUGAAUUGGCUCUUCCUUAAAUUAUUGUAUGCUUAAUCUCUGGUGUAACAAAGGGUUGACUUUUCUAUCAUGUGCUUAGUGCUAAUCAGGCUUCUAUAGUCUUGCGAUAACACAUAGAAAGACUCCCCUGUUUCCAAGACUUUAUUCUUAAGAAAGAAGAAGACAAACAAGGGCUCUUUGGCCCGACACUGCAUUUCAACCUGAUCUACUUUUUUCUCUUUAGAACUACCAAUUCUAUGAGAAUAGCACUAGGCCAGGCGUGGUGGCCUUUAAUCCCAGCACUCCGGAGGCAGAGGCAAGCGGAUUUCUGAGUUCGAGGCCAGCCUGGUCUACAAAGUGAGUUCCAGGACAGCCAGGGCUGUAGUCCCCCCUCCCCCAGCCUGAAACCUGCUUGCUCAGGGGUGGAGCUUCCUGCUCAUUCGUUCUGCCACGCCCACUGCUGGACCUUGCAGCUUUGCUGUUUGGAGCCACAUCGUGCUCACCCUGCUACUGGAUUCCGAGAUUAUUUGGCGGGAAUCGGGUCCCCUCCCCCUUCCUUCAUAACUGAGUGUCGCAACAGUAAAAUUGAGCUUUGAU